CCUACGGGAGGCAGCAGUGGGGAAUAUUGGGCAAUGGGCGCAAGCCUGACCCAGCAACGCCGCGUGAAGGAAGAAGGCUUUCGGGUUGUAAACUUCUUUUCUCAGGGACGAAGAAAGUGACGGUACCUGAGGAAUAAGCCACGGCUAACUACGUGCCAGCAGCCGCGGUAAUACGUAGGUGGCAAGCGUUAUCCGGAUUUACUGGGUGUAAAGGGCGGGUAGGCGGGAAAGCAAGUCAGAUGUGAAAACCAUGGGCUCAACCUGUGGCCUGCAUUUGAAACUGUUUUUCUUGAGUACUGGAGAGGCAGACGGGAUUCCUCGUGUAGCGGUGAAAUGCGUAGAUAUGAGGAGGAACACCAGUGGCGAAGGCGGUCUGCUGGACAGCAACUGACGCUGAGGCGCGAAAGCGUGGGGAGCAAACAGGAUUAGAUACCCCGGUAGUC
rnacentral:rRNA from 1 species